rnacentral:misc_RNA from 1 species
AAGUCGUAACAAGGUUUCCGUAGGUGAACCUGCGGAAGGAUCAUUAACACGUAUCCAACGUUAAACCCCCCUGUGAACUUUUAUACUUGCUCUCCUAGCCCGCCGGAAUUGCAAUCCCUGGUAAAUCAUUGUUGAACAGAUUUUGAUUCAGGGACCUCAGUUUGGUAGGCGAAGAUCGAGCGAUCGUUGCAAGUGGCCUGGUUUCCCCAAGCAGUCAGUGUCUGGAAGUGUCAUUGAUUGUAAGGAUAACGCUUUUCGAUCACUAGAGGCCGAACACCGGCCGGUGACCAGGUCGCCGUGGCUUCGGCCCCCUAUAUUAACCCCACUACCUGAACUCGCCUCGUAGGAAACUGCUGGGCAACAAAACGAACAACUGUUAACAAUGGAUAUCUUGGUUCUC